rnacentral:lncRNA from 1 species
AAGCUAGUGUUGUAUAGCUGUCUUGAAUAUUUUCUCAUUGGUGUGUUAAAGGUAGUGUUUGAAUUUUCAACCAAGUAAACUUUAUGUGAAGGUGUAUAAUUUAAACACGGGGACAAAUUGUUCUCUACAUAUCAGACUGGAAGAACCAUGUGAUUUUAAAUUUUACAAAAUAAAGCUUAUGUUAUUCUACUGAUAGAAACAGUACAAUCACCAAAAAUUUUAUUCUCAUAGAGUUUUUGUGUAUCACAUUGUAUUAAAAUAUCGAUAAGGAUACUAUCAGCAGGGAUGAUAGUUAAUCAUACAGUUAGGAAUCUUAUUAACGUGAGCAAGAAUACAGAGCAGUCUACUGAUUAGUUACUGUUUCUUAGAUAUUUAUACUUGGAAAUUUUAUAGAAUUUGCUACUUUGAGUUUGAGAAGUAGAACAACUUUUACAAAACUUAUGAGAUGAAGAAUCUUAAUUGCUAGAAGAAAGGGCAAGCUUGAUGCUUCAAGGGAACAGUUUUGUAUUUUUGGCAAAUACGAAGAACUUGCAAUUAAUUUAUUUCAGAUUAGAUGAGUAUACUGUGAUUGAUGCUGGUUCAAUGCGGACCGCUAACGUUUAUUCAUUUUAGGUUAAGAAGUGGAAAUACUAGCUUAGAUAAAUUUAGGGUCAUUAUUAUGGUUCAGGUGUGAAUGAUAAUAGUUCUCUAAGGUACAUGGAGGAUAUGUUUUCAUAUGGAGUUUUAUUAUCAGAGGAUUCAUAUUACCAACAGUGUGAGACCCCAGAUAGUCCUAUAUAUGAGAUAUAAUAGGGCUAAACUCCUAACCCGGCUUAAGCAUUUUGGAUGGUGGCUAGACCCAAGAGGUUAAGAGAGUUAAGCGUGCUAGGAGGAGUAGUCCUAGGAUGGGUGACCCCCUGGGAAGUUGGGACGUCACAGUUGGUAUCAGAGCCAACUACCAGCCGGAAGUAUGAGAUGAGUCUCGGCUGAGCCAGGGUCUGGAUGACGGGCUAGCGAGAUAAGUCUCACAUCGCCUGGUACUUGUGAGUCUGAGCCUGACGAGGACGUCAGGGCUUAAAGGAGGGGAGAUUGUGAGACCCCUGAUAGUCCUAUAUAUAAGAUAUAAUAGGGUUAAACUCUUAACCCGGCUUAAGCAUUUUGGGUGGUGGCAAGGCCCAAG